GACGAACGCUGGCGGCGUGCUUAACACAUGCAAGUCGAACGGAAAGGCCCUGCUUUUGUGGGGUGCUCGAGUGGCGAACGGGUGGGUAACACGUGAGUAACCUGCCCUUGACUUUGGGAUAACUUCAGGAAACUGGGGCUAAUACCGGAUAGGAGCUCCUGCUGCAUGGUGGGGGUUGGAAAGUUUCGGCGGUUGGGGAUGGACUCGCGGCUUAUCAGCUUGUUGGUGGGGUAGUGGCUUACCAAGGCUUUGACGGGUAGCCGGCCUGAGAGGGUGACCGGCAAAAUGGGGACGGAGAUACGGCCGAGACUCCUACGGGAGGCAGCAGUGGGGGAUAUGGGACAAUGGGCGGAAGGCUGAUGCAGCAACGCCGCGGGCGGGAUGACGGCCUGCGGGUUGUAAACCGCUUUCGCCUGGGACGAAGCGUGAGGGACGGGAAUGGGAAAAGAAGAACCGGCUAAUUAAGUG
rnacentral:rRNA from 1 species